rnacentral:misc_RNA from 1 species
AACCAUAGAAACCUGCGGAGUACCUGCGGAGGGAUCAUUAUAGUAUAUGGAAACUCCAUUCUAUAAACCCACUCUGCGUAUCUUGUAACUGUUGCUUCCAUGGGACUUGGUUCCGCCACACCGGCUUCACGGCUGGUGAGCGCCCAUGGAAGGAGAAACAAAACUCUUCUUUGAAAUGUAGUCAGUCUGAACAAGUUUUUAUAAACGUUAAAACUUUUAACAAUGGAUCUCAGAUCGGAA